rnacentral:rRNA from 1 species
AGAUAUCAGGAGGAACACCGAUGGCGAAGGCAGGUCUCUGGGCCAAUACUGACACUGAGGAGCGAAAGCUUGGGGACCGAACAGGAUUAGAUACCCCUGGUAGUCCACGCCGUAAACGGUGGGCGCUAGUUGUGCGAACCUUCCACGGUUUGUGCGACGCAGCUAACGCAUUAAGCGCCCCGCCUGGGGAGUACGAUCGCAAGAUUAAAACUCAAAGGAAUUGACGGGGCCCCGCACAAGCAGCGGAGCAUGCGGCUUAAUUCGACGCAACGCGAAGAACCUUACCAAGGCUUGACAUAUACAGGAAUAUGGCAGAGAUGUCAUAGCCGCAAGGUCUGUAUACAGGUGGUGCAUGGUUGUCGUCAGCUCGUGUCGUGAGAUGUUGGGUUAAGUCCCGCAACGAGCGCAACCCUCGUUCUGUGUUGCCAGCAUUUAGUUGGGGACUCACAGGAGACUGCCGGGGUUAACUCGGAGGAAGGUGGGGAUGACGUCAAAUCAUCAUGCCCCUUAUGUCUUGGGCUGCACGCAUGCUACAAUGGCUGGUACAAACGGCUGCAAUACCGCAAGGUGGAGCGAGUCCGAGAAAGCCAGUCUCAGUUCGGAUUGGGGUCUGCAACUCGACCCCAUGAAGUCGGAGUUGCUAGUAAUCGUAGAUCAGCAACGCUACGGUGAAUACGUUCCCGGGGCUUGUACACACCGCCCGUCACAUCACGAAAGUCGGUAACACCCAAAGUCAGUGGCCCAACCGCAAGGAGGGAGCUGCCAAAG